rnacentral:guide_RNA from 1 species
ACUGUAAAAGGGGGAAUGACGCCCCUAUAUAAUAUGUCAU